AAAAAUCCCUUCUUGCAUGCAUCAAGGUAUACAUAAAGCCUUUAAAAAUGUGGAGGAGGCUCUACCCUUAUCUUUAUUGUGCUCUGAACAUUAGUUGCUUUCACCUCAUCACAAUACUCCCACAACCUUGAGUAUUGCUCCUUGUAAGUAUUUUAUAUUAUCUUCAUGGCUUUCUUAUUUGCUUUGGAACACUGACAAUGUGAUACAUUAUACCCUAAAUUCCUC
rnacentral:lncRNA from 1 species